rnacentral:rRNA from 1 species
AUGGAGGAUCCUACAGGUGGACGGCUGGGCGACGUGCUGAUUCUCGGUGGAAGGGAGCGAGGAGGCGGAGAGUUCGAUCAGAGAAAGCAAUUGUGCAAUCUCUUUCUCCAGAUGGUGGGACGAAUCAGAAGUCCACCAACCGCUUGCACGUGUCAUGCGUGUUUGUCGGAACAGAUUUGCAGCUACCCCUAUCCUCUCCAUAUCAGAGAAAGAUGGAUGGUCGUAUGUACACCAAUCUGGAUCAACAGAGCUUACUACGUUGCAUUAACCAUACCUUUGUGGUCGUCAACUGAAAUGGAUUAUUUUUUUCAAGUAUUAUUUCAUGGAUUACUGUUUGCUAUUCCAUUACUUGGUGGUUAA